GACGAACGCUGGCGGCGUGCUUAACACAUGCAAGUCGAACGGAAAGGCCCUGCUUUUGUGUGUUGCUCGAGUGGCGAACGGGUGAGUAACACGUGAGUAACCUGCCCUUGACUUUGGGAUAACUUCAGGAAACUCGGGCUAAUACCGGAUAGGAGCUCCUGCUGCAUGGGGGUGGUUGGAAAGUUUCGGCGGUUGGGGAUGGACUCGCGGCUUAUCAGCUUGUUGGUGGGGUAGUGGCUUACCAAGGCUUUGACGGGUAGCCGGCCUGAGAGGGUGACCGGCCACAUUGGGACUGAGAUACGGCCCAGACUCCUACGGGAGGCAGCAGUGGGGAAUAUUGCACAAUGGGCGGAAGCCUGAUGCAGCAACGCCGCGUGCGGGAUGACGGCCUUCGGGUUGUAAACCGCUUUCGCCUGUGACGAAGCGUGAGUGACGGUAAUGGGUAAAGAAGCACCGGCUAACUACGUG
rnacentral:rRNA from 1 species